rnacentral:rRNA from 1 species
AUUGAACGCUGGCGGCAUGCUUUACACAUGCAAGUCGAACGGCAGCGCGGGGCCACCUGGCGGCGAGUGGCGAACGGGUGAGUAAUAUAUCGGAACGUACCCAGAAGUGGGGGAUAACGUAGCGAAAGUUACGCUAAUACCGCAUACGAUCUACGGAUGAAAGUAGGGGACCGCAAGGCCUUAUGCUUUUGGAGCGGCCGAUAUCUGAUUAGCUAGUUGGUGAGGUAAAGGCUCACCAAGGCGACGAUCAGUAGCUGGUCUGAGAGGACGACCAGCCACACUGGAACUGAGACACGGUCCAGACUCCUACGGGAGGCAGCAGUGGGGAAUUUUGGACAAUGGGCGCAAGCCUGAUCCAGCAAUGCCGCGUGAGUGAAGAAGGCCUUCGGGUUGUAAAGCUCUUUUGUCAGGGAAGAAACGGUAGAGGCUAAUAUCCUUUGCUAAUGACGGUACCUGAAGAAUAAGCACCGGCUAACUACGUG